rnacentral:rRNA from 1 species
UACGGGGGGGGUAAGCGUUGUUCGGAAUCAUUGGGCGUAAAGGGCGCGUAGGUGGCGGGACAAGCGUGCGGUGAAAGCCUGGGGCUCAACCCCGGGUCGGCCGUGCGAACUGUUUUGCUUGAGCACUGUAGAGGCAGGCGGAAUUCCGGGUGUAGCGGUGGAAUGCGUAGAGAUCCGGAAGAACACCGGUGGCGAAGGCGGCCUGCUGGGCAGUAGCUGACACUGAGGCGCGACAGCGUGGGGAGCAAACAGG